rnacentral:misc_RNA from 1 species
GAAAAUCCAUCUCUGAUGCUGCCUACAUACAUCGAUGGAAACGAGGAAAAAAAUAAGAAACAGUGCACAAUUACAGAACUUGCUACAACUCUUGAGCCUACAUCUCUGAUUUUAUUACUUUCAUUACCAAAUUACCAAUUGAAGAUGGUUCCCUUCUCACAGCCAAGCUUUCGGGUGCUUCCACACUUAUCUUGCAUGUUGGACAUGAGUUUGGGUUCUCAAGUCACAACUUAUUGAGAACAAUUUUUGUUGAUCUAAUCCUGUUGAAUAAUACCACACCAUACCACCAUUUUU